GUAGUAGGCAAGCUGCGGAGGGACGCAGGAAGGUAGCUCUUCCCGGCUAUGGCUAUGUCGGGUUAAGUGUGUAGGGUGGAGUAUAGGCAAAUCCGUACUCCGUGAUGCCUGAGACAUGAUGUGUCCACACCUUGGUGUGGUAAGAGUGAUCCUAUGCUGCCUAGAAAAGCUUCGUGAGCGAGAUAUGAGCCGCCCGUACCCCAAACCGACACAGGUGGAUAGGUAGAGAAUACCAAGGCGAUCGAGAGAAUCGUGGUGAAGGAACUCGGCAAAAUACCCCCGUAACUUCGGGAUAAGGGGGACCUGACACGUCAACCACUUCGCGUGGGGAAGCGUUGAGGGUCGCAGAGACCAGGCCCAAGCGACUGUUUACUAAAAACACAGGUCCGUGCUAAGUCGAAAGACGAUGUAUACGGACUGACUCCUGCCCGGUGCUGGAAGGUUAAGGGGAACUGUUAGUCAGUAAUGGCGAAGCGGUGAACUUAAGCCCCAGUAAACGGCGGUGGUAACUAUAACCAUCCUAAGGUAGCGAAAUUCCUUGUCGGGUAAGUUCCGACCUGCACGAAUGGAGUAACGAUUUGGGCGCUGUCUCCACCACGAACUCGGCGAAAUUGCAUUACGAGUAAAGAUGCUCGUUACGCGCAGCAGGACGGAAAGACCCCGUGACCUUUACUACAGCUUGGUAUUGGUGUUCGGUGUGGCUUGUGUAGGAUAGGUGGGAGACUUUGAAGCUUGGACGCUAGUUCAGGUGGAGUCAUUGUUGAAAUACCACUCUGGUCACUCUGGAUAUCUAACUUCGAACCGUAAUCCGGUUCAGGGACAGUGCCUGGUGGGUAGUUUAACUGGGGCGGUUGCCUCCUAAAGAGUAACGGAGGCGCCCAAAGGUUCCCUCAACCUGGUUGGCAAUCAGGUGUCGAGUGUAAGUGCACAAGGGAGCUUGACUGUGAGACUGACAGGUCGAGCAGGGACGAAAGUCGGGACUAGUGAUCCGGCGGUGGCUUGUGGAAGCGCCGUCGCUCAACGGAUAAAAGGUACCCCGGGGAUAACAGGCUGAUCUUGCCCAAGAGUCCAUAUCGACGGCAUGGUUUGGCACCUCGAUGUCGGCUCGUCGCAUCCUGGGGCUGGAGUAGGUCCCAAGGGUUGGGCUGUUCGCCCAUUAAAGCGGUACGCGAGCUGGGUUUAGAACGUCGUGAGACAGUUCGGUCCCUAUCCGCUGCGCGCGUAGGAAAUUUGAGAGGAUCUGACCCUAGUACGAGAGGACCGGGUUGGACGAACCUCUGGUGUGCCAGUUGUUCUGCCAAGAGCACCGCUGGUUAGCUACGUUCGGGAUGGAUAACCGCUGAAAGCAUCUAAGCGGGAAGCCGGCCUCAAGAUGAGAUUUCCAUGCCUUCGGGCGAGAGGCUCCCAGCCAGACUACUGGGUUGAUAGGCCGGAUGUGGAAGCGUGGUAACACGUGAAGCUGACCGGUACUAAUAAGCCGAUGAUUUGAUA
rnacentral:rRNA from 1 species